AGCACGUGUGUUUUUGCUUACCUUGUAGACAAAAACUUAUUGACAGGUGCAAAAAAAAUUUACAUUUGUAACCCAGAGCCCGUCAUUCAGUAAGAGUUUUGAUCCAUGUAAGAAAGAAUAUU
ensembl:snoRNA